ensembl:lncRNA
AGUAGCUGGCGGCCACCCCACCUCCACUGUCAGUUGUAUGCCUCUGCCGUGUCUAUGUCACUUGGGCCUACGUGGCAGCACUUCAUUGGUGCCUCGUCCGUCCUGUCCUCUGAUCCCUGGGGCUGCGCCCUGGUUCUUCCUGAUUUCUGUUUAGGAGUACUGAUGUGGCAGCUCUUACCAGUGUAGGGUAAGGGAGUUAGAGGAGGCAAGGUUCGGAAAAAGAAGGAGACUGGCACUUAAUGGAACGGAUUCACCUUUAAUGAGGCAAGAAGGGGCAGCAUCAGAUUAGUGAGCUGCUGCACUAACCCAAGAAAAGACAUAUGGAACAGAAUUUAAUUGCUGCUCUUCUUUGGAUCUGAGUGCUGAUAAUUGAUCAGACUAAAGAC